CCUACGGGAGGCAGCAGUGGGGAAUAUUGGACAAUGGGCGAAAGCCUGAUCCAGCCAUGCCGCGUGUGUGAAGAAGGCCUUCGGGUUGUAAAGCACUUUCAGUGGGGAAGAAAGCCUUGGGGCUAAUACCCUCGAGGAAGGACAUCACCCACAGAAGAAGCACCGGCUAACUCCGUGCCAGCAGCCGCGGUAAUACGGAGGGUGCGAGCGUUAAUCGGAAUUACUGGGCGUAAAGCGCGCGUAGGCGGUCUGAUAAGCCGGUUGUGAAAGCCCCGGGCUCAACCUGGGAAUGGCAUCCGGAACUGUCAGGCUAGAGUGCAGGAGAGGAAGGUAGAAUUCCCGGUGUAGCGGUGAAAUGCGUAGAGAUCGGGAGGAAUACCAGUGGCCAAGGCGGCCUUCUGGACUGACACUGACGCUGAGGUGCGAAAGCGUGGGUAGCAAACAGGAUUAGAUACCCGGGUAGUC
rnacentral:rRNA from 1 species